rnacentral:lncRNA from 1 species
CCGAACUGGCCUUGUCCUAGUUUCCUACCAAAUUUGAAAAAUUCCUUAAAAUUUCCUGUUCUCGUCUGUAAAACGGAUCCAGUCCUGAGUCCAGCACUAGAUACCCUCUUCAUUUCUGGGGAUUUCUUGGGUUUUGUCGGAUGUUCUGGUUUAGCUUCUGGUUUAGCUUCAGGUUUAGUUUCUGGCUUAGUUUCUGGUUUAGGCAUCGUCAACUGUUCUGGUGGUUUAUUUUGAACCGGAAAGGGCGAUUCAGGUUCUUUCGUUGUUGCCUCAGUCACAGUUGCUUCAUCAGUACGUGUAUGAUUAGAAACUGACUCAUCA